rnacentral:rRNA from 1 species
UUUUUAUGGAGAGUUUGAUCCUGGCUCAGGACGAACGCUGGCGGCGUGCCUAAUACAUGCAAGUCGAGCGAACAGAGAAGGAGCUUGCUCCUUCGACGUUAGCGGCGGACGGGUGAGUAACACGUGGGCAACCUACCUUAUAGUUUGGGAUAACUCCGGGAAACCGGGGCUAAUACCGAAUAAUCUAUUUUACUUCAUGGUGAAAUACUGAAAGACGGUUUCGGCUGUCGCUAUAAGAUGGGCCCGCGGCGCAUUAGCUAGUUGGUGAGGUAACGGCUCACCAAGGCAACGAUGCGUAGCCGACCUGAGAGGGUGAUCGGCCACACUGGGACUGAGACACGGCCCAGACUCCUACGGGAGGCAGCAGUAGGGAAUCUUCCACA